GUUGGUGGAUGUAGAUGCUUAGCCAAUCAGUCACUAGGCUUGUGAAUAUGAUCAAACAGCAAUCAUCUACUAUGAAGUAUACAUGCAUUCUAUAGGAAUCUGGAUGCUCACAAGGACAAGAGCUGUAUGAAAAAAAAAACCAACAGAAAUUGUGCAAGGAAAGUUUGAAGUGUCUGUGGGACUGGGAAUGAUCAUCAUCCAACUUUCUGAGCCUUCGUACUGAAAGUGAAUGCAUUCGUGACACCAAUUAUCUGUCAACCCUAUAACAUAACCAUUUACUAUUUUCAUGGGAUAUAUCAGUGAGGAAGUGAUUCUCUGGCAAACACGUCAGAAGUUUUGGAUCUUCAUUAAUUGGGAUCUUUGGCACGUACGUUGGGGGAUUAUACUUUUAAUUAGCAUCUGUUGAUUUUAUGGGAUCUGUGUAUCAAUAUAGUUGUGUAGUACCUAUUUUUUGCAUUUAAUACAUGUGUUUGUCACUCUAGUCAUUAACUUUGUACCAGUACAUAAGCCACUGGCAGUUCAUUGUAAAUGUAUACUCUGUUGAUGUUUCAAUGACCUCUCCAAUUCCAUGU